rnacentral:rRNA from 1 species
AGCAGCCGCGGUAAUUCCAGCUCCAAUAGCGUAUAUUAAAGUUGUUGCAGUUAAAAAGCUCGUAGUUGAAUUUCGGGGUCAGACUGUCGGUCGUGCCUCGGUACGCACUGGCAUUAUUGGUUCCUACCUUCUGAAGAACCGCGAUGUCAUUAAUUUGGUGUCGUGGGGAAUCAGGACUGUUACUUUGAAAAAAUUAGAGUGUUUAAAGCAGGCGCACGCUUGAAUACAUUAGCAUGGAAUAAUGAAAUAGGACGUUUGAUUCUAUUUUGUUGGUUUCUAGGAUCGACGUAAUGAUUAAUAGGGAUAGUUGGGGGCAUUAGUAUUCAAUUGUCAGAGGUGAAAUUCUUGGAUUUAUUGAAGACUAACUACUGCGAAAGCAUUUGCCAAGGAUGUUUUCAUUAAUCAAGAACGAAAGUUAGGGGAUCGAAGACGAUCAGAUACCGUCGUAGUCUUAACCAUAAACUAUGCCGACUAGGGAUCGGAUGAUGUUAAUUUUUUAAUGACUCAUUCGGCGCCUUACG